AGAUAAUCUUAAAUAUAAUCCAGAGAGACUAGUGCGCAUUACUGUUUAACAAUAAAGAAUAUCAUAUCCAGGCUGCCGGUGAAAUCCUUGGUCCGAUUCACCUCCGUCUCAAAGCGGUGGCUUACCAUCAUACUAUUCGACCCUGAUUUCACAACUCUGCUUCGGAGGAACAAAACCCUCACUCGCAGACUGCUGGUCUACUCGCGGAAGGGAAACCCCGGUAAGCUGAAAUCGCGGAACUCCGAAAUGACGUCGUUUAAAAAGGUGAAAUUCCCUUUCCAACGUCGUUUUGUCACACUGCUGGGCUCCUGCAAUGGUCUAGUGUUUGUAGUUGAUGAGAAUGAUGUGCAUAGUUUCCGUGUUCAUGUCUGGAACCCAUUAACUGGAUUCGUGAAGGAGUUACCUAUCCCAGGUUUUUCCACUGAUUUUGACCUGGAGUUACGUGCUUAUGGUGUUGGGUAUUUACCAGCUACAGAUGAGUAUAAAGUUAUUCUGAGUUAUGCUCCGGUGGAGGUGGAGUUGGAUGUGAAUAAUGAAACGGAGGAAGAAUAUAACAGGAGGGUUGAGGAGGAUGAAAAAUUGAAUUUUAGCAAGGUAAUGUCAUUGAAUGAUGGGAUUUGGAGAAGUAUCGAAGCCCCUAAGGAUUGCUACUCGAAUCACCAGCAGGGGACUCUUGUCAAUGGGUGGCUUCAGUGGCUACAGACGCCAUUAUCAGAUGAAAUUGUUGCUUUUGAUCUGGCUAGGGAGGAGUUUCGGGAAAUUGAGAUGCCUAAUUUCGGCCCAAAGAAGAUCCGGGAUCUCAGCGAGCUUCGGUUUUGCUUUGUAGGAUGCCUUGAAGGAUGCCUGUGUGUGUUGCGUUAUCCUGUGAUAGAUGCUUGUGAUUCCAUUGAUUUUUGGGUCAUGAGAGAAUAUGGGGUGGUUGAGUCGUGGACUAAGCUAUUUACCUUCAGGUUUUCAAAUCCGGAAUGGUCAAUGAGGCCCCUCUUGAUUACGGAAAAUUCUACAGUUGCCUUGAAAUGGAACGCGGAUAUAUGGUCUCGCAAUGUUUUUAGCGCAGAUGCGUCAACCGGGGUAAGGAUUUCUCAUAAACAAGAAGGAGAAGAAGAGCCUUGUGUUAAUAUACUUGGCGGCAAUUGGGAUAACGUAAUUGAAUAUGAAGAGGGCCUAGCUUCGAUUGGUGGUUACAAUGGGGUUCAUCACAACGCCUCACAAAGCUGAAAUGAAGAGGUAUACUGGCUCUCUGCAUACAAGUGCUGUUUGGGUAAUUCUUAUUUUUAGCCUCAUUUCAUGCAUUUGAAUAGUAUUUAUGUAUAUUCUUUUAAAAUCAGUUUUCCAAUGCCUUAAAUACUCAAACAAAGCCUUUAACCAGCUGAGUUCCUUGUACAUUUUAGAAUGCCUUGUAUGCUCAACGAUCGAUUGGCUUUGCUUGGCAAUCGUUUUUUUUUUGUUUUUGUGUGGAAAUUUUGCCAAAUACUCUGCAUUCUUCUAACAGUUGAUUUGUUGGGUUCUUUGUGGUGCUGGAGAGAGUAGAGAGACAGUCUUCUAAGUAUAUACCUGUAGCAUGAAUAAUGAGGUUUACAAUUUAGUAGGCAUAUAUAUGUACUAUUAUCUGCUGUAGGCAUCGUAUAGAAUAUGUGUUCACAUUCUUAAAGAUAUUGGAAGUAUGGUCGUUAUUCAUACAAAACGUUUACAAAUAUGAUCACUGUAUCAAAGGGUUUUGUUUAACGCAACACCAGACGGCUUUGUCUAUCCAGAUGAAUUGCCUAAUAGCUUGAAAAGCUUGAUAUCAUGGUCAAAUAACAAUUUUUGCAUAGUCAGACCCAAGAGGGUUUAAGUAAAAACUGAUAUUAUAGUACUGUUAGGAUAGGUUUUCUGUAAUGCACCGUUGCAUUCAUAUGCAUGUUUGUGUUCCUAUAUAUUUCAUGUGCAAUCUUAAUUUGAGAAGUCAUGUACAGGAAAUUCCAGGUGCAUAUGUGAUGAAGCAGGAAAAUUGUUUGACAGAGUCAGUAAUGCUUAAGGUUCCUUGCGGAGCAGAAUGGCGAAUAGGAUUAACAAGGUGUGAGCAAGUUGUGCUAGCUUUUAACAUUUUCUGAACAAGUUGUGGCUAGGUUUUUGUUUUGGCGGUAUACCUUGCCAUAGUAGAUGGUGUUUGUCUAUUGCAUUUAACUACAGCUUUAUGGCUUGUUCUCUUUUAAUUCGUGGUUAGCUUCACUAAUUUAGUAACAGAAUUUGUUUUUGCAAUAUCUUUAUGUGACCUGUAUUGUCUUCCUAGUUUCUGCAUGGCUUGUUCGUUUUUGUUGAAGAGUUCUUGGAUGACACAGCUAAUGCAUGCCUAGUUUAUUGAUGCCUAGUACUCGGUAGUAGAUGACAGCUAUUGCUUGUGCUGUUGCUUAUAUAUUUUUGAAUUAAAUUCAGUUUACUCUCAUAGGUUUGGGAGUAACUUCAUGUUAAUCCCUAUACUUUCAAUUUCAUCAGUUUACCCCUCAAAUUUUUGAAUUUUUCUCAAGCGUGACCAAAUGUCCUAUAUUCUGUCCAAAUCGGACUUUAACUGCUGAUAAUUUUAACCUUAACUGUGAGGCAAGUAUCUAGAAUUUGGGCAAAUCGGACCUUAUAUGUCUAAAUCGGACCUUAACUGCUGAUAAUUAAAGGUCAAUUCAAACGGAAUAUGAGAAUUUGGGCACGGCAAACAGAAAUUGAAGAGUUCAAGGGGUAAACUGAUGAAAAUAAAAGUGUAGGGACUAACAUGAAGUCACCUCUAAACCACAAAGGGGUAAACUGAAUUUAAUUCUAUAUUUUUCCAAUGGCCGGAUGGUCCUAUGAAAUAUGAAUCUCUUUUAGCUUGCAUUCCCUUUCUUUUCUUGUUUUGAUCCUAAUAUCAGAUCAGUCUCUUUGGCUCUGAGAGAGUCAACCGUACAUUUGGUUGCAGCAAUGGCAGAAACAGACCUACCGGAGGAGAUUAUAGUGAAUAUAAUAUCUCGGCUGCCAGUGAAAUCCUUGGUCCGAUUCACCUCCGUCUCAAAGCGGUGGCUUUCAAUCAUAUUAUUCGACCAACAUUUCACAAAUCAGCUUCGGAGGAACAAAACCCUCACUCGCAGCCUGCUGGUCUGCUCGCAGCCAAUACCCUUACUUCCCUCCUCAGAUGGAAUUGGUGGACCUGGAAACGUCAUCGUUCAGACAAGUGAAAUCCCCCUCCCAACGAAAUGGUUUUGUCACCCUACUCGGCUCCUGCAACAGUCUGGUAUUUGUAGCGUAUGAAAAAAAUUUCUGUGUCUAUGUCUGGAACCCAUUCACUGGCUCCAUAAAGGAGUUACCUCACCUAGAUUAUUCCACGAAUCUGCGUUUAAGUGCUUAUGGUGUUGGCUAUUUACCGGCAACAUUUGACUUUAAAGCUGUUGUGAACUAUGUUAUGGAAAAGGAGGAGGAUGAGGAUGAGGAGGAGGAGGAGGAGGAGGAGGAUGAGAAGGAGGGAAGGUUUAAGUUCAUACAAGAUACUGUCAUUGGAAGAUCAGAUUUGGAGAAGUGUUGAAGGCCCUCAUUGUUUCUACUUCGGUAACCAAUGUAAGGGGACUCUUGUCAAUGAGGGACUUCAUUGGCUAAGGACGCCAGGCACAGAUGAAACAGUUGCUUUUGAUUUGGCUAAGGUGGAGUUCGGAAAAUGGGGACGCCUAAUUACGAUCAAGAUGGGACCGUAUAGGAGCUAUCUCGGGGUUUGCUUUGGAGAAUGUCUGUGUGUGUCGCGUUAUCCGAUUGAUGUUUAUGAUUCCAUUGAUUUUUGGGUCAUGAGAGAAUAUGGGGUGAGUGAGUCGUGGAGAACUGUACAGCAUCCGAUUUGAGUCCUGAGGUUAUCAAAUCCGCAACUCAAAUUUCCAAUGACGCCUCUCUUGAUUAUGGAGAACUGUACAGUUGCCUUGAUAUGGACUUGCAACGGCUAUGAGACAACGAGGAUAAGGAUCUCUCAUAAACAAGAAGGAGAAGAAGAGCCUAGUUUUGAUAUACUGCACGGCAAUUGGUCACAUUGAAUAUGAAGAAAGCCUAGUUUCGAUCGUGGUUACAGUGGGGUUGAAAAUUCAUCAGAAAGCUGAAAUGAGGAAGAAUGAUCGCUCUCUGCAUGUAAGUGCUCGUUAGGUAGUUCUCAUGUUUAGCUCGUUUCAUGCAUUUGAAUAGUAAUUCUGUAUUUUCUGUUAAAACUACGGAAACCAGUUAUUCAUUACUCAAUUUUCCAAUGCGUUAACAAAAUGCCUGGUACAUUUUCACCUUGUAUGCUCAAUGAUCAAUUGGCUUUGCUUGACCAGUCUUCUA
rnacentral:lncRNA from 1 species